CAGAGUUCGGGGAUUUUCUCUGCCGGGACUAUGUUUCGGUCUUUUCUUAAUAUAAUACCGGGAGGACGGUUUUUCCCUCCCCGGCCGAGUUUUUUAUAUCUUCAAUGUUAGUAACGUUUGAACAAAAAUAUUUAGUCAUGUGUAUUAUACUACAGUCUAGGCAGCUAGGGGCAUUAGAAAGAGUUAUCUCUUCUCUAGGUUAUUUGUUAUUAAAAGUA
rnacentral:lncRNA from 1 species